rnacentral:lncRNA from 1 species
AAUUGUGUGCAUGGCUCGGCUGUGCAGGGAGGGUGGAGGCAAAAUUGAUAUCAAAUAAGGGUAUCAAACUGAGAUCUAGAUGUUCCAUUUAAGUUGUUGUUCAUUUUCAUUAGCCACGCCAGGGGUGAAAUGCUUAUAACUUAACCAUUCUCUGUAGUAAGAACAUUUGUUUUCAAUGGAUUUAUAUUUUUCCUCUCCAUAAAGACUGAAUUAGUGCUAUAGUGAAUAUAAAUGAAGGGUGUUUCUUUACCCUCUUUUCCUUUUAUUAUUUACUAAUCAGACUUCAGCUCAGUUAGAUAAAAGAGAGAGGUUCUGUUGCCUAGAUGUGAGGCCUUUAAUGAGGAUGGGAGCCCCCAGGGAGCCGAAAUCCAAAGUAGAACGAUGCCGCUUUCCGGUUUCUUGCAAUUUCUUCAGUUGCUUCUCCCUUUUCCAAUGGGCCUAGUGAGCAGGAACUAUCCAAGGUGCUAGAACGCUGGCAGCCUUGCCGUUCAAUGCAGACGGAUUGCAGAAACAGAGAAGAAAGAUUACUGCUUAUUUCAGAAGAAUAUAAUCAAAUGAGGUACAUUAGCCA